AACGAACGCUGGCGGCAGGCCUAACACAUGCAAGUCGAACGCCCUAGCAAUAGGGAGUGGCAAACGGGUGAGUAACACGUGGGAACCUUCCCUGUAGUACGGAAUAGCCCAGGGAAACUUGGAGUAAUACCGUAUAAGCCCGAGAGGGGAAAGAUUUAUCGCUACAGGAUGGGCCCGCGUCGGAUUAGCUAGUUGGUGAGGUAAUGGCUCACCAAGGCGACGAUCCGUAGCUGGUUUGAGAGAACGACCAGCCACACGGGGACUGAGACACGGCCCAGACUCCUACGGGGGGCAGCAGUGGGGAAUAUUGGACAAUGGACGAAAGCCUGAUCCAGCCAUGCCGCGUGAGUGAUGAAGGCCUUAGGGUUGUAAAGCUCUUUUGUCGGGGACGAUAAUGACGGUACCCGAAGAAUAAGCUCCGGCUAACUUCGUGCCAGCAGCCGCGGUAA
rnacentral:rRNA from 1 species